CAGGAUGAUCGAACAAACUAAGUAGUUUUUAGGGUGAAAGGAGUACUCAAGCUAGUAGCAGAGAUCUGUAGCAAUGUAAGAUGUCAGUGAUUACCCACUUAAUCGAGAAACUGAAAGCACAAGUUCAUCAUGGAAACUACGUACUAAACAAUACAUCACAUACACUACAACUAUAAAUGGAGUUAAGUUCAAGAUAGAAGGUGCUUUGGAGAUAGGGUUACAUAUUCUUUCGGCAGCAAAAUGAGGAGAAAUUGUAUGACUAGCUCAACUUAAGUAUCAUGUCUUCAAGAACCCUAUUUUUUUUUUUUCCGUGUAAGGUAAGAAAGUAUAAUAAUGAUGUGUCAACUAUGUAGAGAGAAGGGGAACACCCCGAACCCUAAUUCUUUUCUGUUUCUUUCUUUAAUUUUUUUUUUCUUUUUCCAUAUUUUUUUCUUCCUUUUACCACUUAAACAAGUCUCAGAUUAGUUCAAUCCAGUUUCCUAAUGUCAUGAACUGUUUCUGUUGGAUCAUGAUUAGCACACGUUUGAAUAAGAUCAACAGAAGAAUUUUCUACUCUUGGCUCAUAA